UGUUAGGAGCCUAGUGUCCGGGAGCAUUGCAAACGGGUCUUCCGUCCUUUGCAGAUUAAUCUGCUGGGUCUUUGGGGUUUAUACAAGGCUUGCCCAGAAAACAGGCUGCCUUUUGUGGUCACACACACCAGCAUCUUGGAAUAUUUAAGGAAACAGCUGAGAGUUGGGCAGAACAAAGGUCUCUCCAUGCUUCCAUGGGCAGAGAGCCCAAGGGUCAGUCCUGGCUGUGGUGGCCAUAGCUAAGUGUGACCUUAUGAAAGUGUGGUCAUCUUCUUGCAAGGCUGCUGCUUAGGUCAGCUAUGGCUUUCUGUCCCCCUCCCUCCAACCCCCAGAUUGUGUGGUAAGCUGGGAAAAACAUCCAGGAGUGAGCUGAGAUAUACCUUGUGCUCUUGUGUGGUAACUCACUGGCAGGAUAUUGUAGCAAAUCUUUUCCUGGAGGUUUGAAUGGUGAUGGUAAAUUGUGUAUUCUUGGUUAGUGCAAUUAGCUACAUGAAACAUCACAGACUUCAAACAAGGAAGAAAGGCUAGUGCAACAUUUUAAAAUUUGGCAUACUUAUACUUGUAUUUAAUUUGUGGGAUAGUUUAUCAAUAAUUUUAAAUGGUUUUGACCUAUUUUGCAUUAGUAAUUUUCACCUGUGUACAGAUAUUAUGUAAUGGUCUUGCUUAAGUGUAUAUUUUACUUGUUUAGGGUUUUUAUUUUAUUGUUUGAUUGGAUAAUUUAUUUAUUUACAUUUCAAAUGUUUUCCCCUUUCCAGGUCUCCCUUUCAGGUUUCCAUCUGGGUUGUUACCAUACCCUUCCCCUGACUCUAUGAGGGUGCUCCCUCCACCACUCCGGUUCUCCUGCCCUGGCAUUCCCCUGCACUGGGGCAUUGAACACCCCCAGGCGCAAGGGCCUCUCCUCCCACUGAUGUCCAACAAGGCCCUCCUCUUCCACAUAAGUGAUCAGCACCAUGGGUUGCUCCAUGUGUAUUCUUUGGUUGGUGGUUCAGUCCCUCGGAACUCUGGGGUGUCUGUCAUGUUGAUACUGUUGCUACCUCCCUGGGGCUUCAAGCUCCCUCUGCUCCUUCAGCCCUUCUCCAAAUCUUCCAUUGGGGCCCAUUAGCUUGGUCCAAUGGUUGGCUGUGAGCUUCCACCUUUGUCUUUGUCAGGCUCUGGCAGAGCUUCUCAUGAAACAGCCAUAUCAGGCCUCCAUCAGCAAGCACUUUUGGACAUCACACAAUAACAUCAGGGUUUGGUGGCUGUGUAUGGGAUGGAUACUUAGGUGGGGCAGUCUCUGGAUUGCCUUUCCUUCAGUCUCUGCUUCACCCUUUGUCUCUACAUUUCCUCCUGUGAGUAUUUUGUUCACCCUUCUAAAAAACACUGAAGCAUACACAUUUUGGUCUUCCUCUUCUUAGUCUUCACAUAGUCUGUGAAUUGAAUUUUGGGUAUUCUGAACUCUUGUGCUAAUAUCCACUUAUCAGGGAGUACACACCAUGUUUGUUCCUUUGUGACUGAGUCACCUCACUUAGGAUGAUAUUCUCAAGUUCCAUCCAUUUGUGUGUGAAUUUCAUGAAGCCAUUGUUUUUAAUACCUGAGUAGCAUUCCAUUGUGUAAAUGUACCACAUUUUGUGUAUCCAUUUGUCUGUUGAGGGACAUCUGGGUUGUUUCCAGUUUCUGGCUAUUAUAAAUAUGGCUGCUAUGAACAUACAAGCAUGUGGCCUUAUCACAUGAUGGAGCAUCUUUUGGGUAUAUGCCCAAGAGUGGUCUAGCUGGGUUCUCUGGUAGUACUAUGUGCAACUUUCUGAGGAACUGCCAGACUGAUUUCCAAAACCUCCAAGUCCUCGUUCUUUGUUGAAUCUUUGUGAGGUUUUGGUAUCAGCAGAACUCUGGCUUCAUAGAAUGAAUUGGAUAAUGUUCCUUCUGUUUCUAUUUUGUUAGUUUGAAGAGUAUUGGUAUUAGGUCUUCUUUGAAGAUCUGAUAGAAUUCUGCACUAAACCCAUCUGGUCCUGGGCUUUUUUUGGUUGGGAGACUAUUAAUGACUACUUCUAUUUCUUUAGGUGAUACGAGACUGUUUAGAUCGCUAAUCUUAUCCUGAUUUAACUUUGGUACCUGAUAUAUGUCUAGAAAUUUGUCCAUUUCAUCCAGGUUUUCCAGUUUUGUUAAGUAUAGCCUUUUGUAGUAGGAUCUGGUGGUGUUUUGGAUUUCCUCAGGUUCUGUUGUUAUAUCUCCCUUUCCAUUUCUCAGUUUGUUAAUUUGGAUACUGUUCCUGUGCCCUCUAGUUAUUCUGUCUGAGGGUUUAUCUAUCACGUUGAUUUUCUCAAAGAACCAGCUUCUGGUUUGGUUGAUUCUUUAUAUAACUCUUUUUGUUUCCAUUUGUUGAUUUCAGCUUGGAGUUUGGCUAUUUCAUGCAGUCUAUUCCUCUUGUAUGUAUUUGUUUCUUUUUGUUCUAGAGUUUUCAGGUAUGCUUUUAAGCUGCUAGUGUGUGCUCUCUCUAGUUUCUUUUUGUAGGCACUCAGAGCUAUAAGAUUUACUCUUAGCACUGCUUUCAUUGUGUGACAUAAGUUUGAGGAAGAUAUACCUUCAUUUUCAUUGAAUUCUAAAAUGUCUUUAAUUUCUUUCUUUAUUUCUUCCUUGAACAAGUUAUCAUUGAGUAGAGAAUUGUUCAGCUUCCAUAUGUAUGUUGUUUUUGUUGCUAUUAAAGACCAGCCUUAAUCCUUAGUGAUUCGAUAGGAGGCAUCGGAUUAUUUCAAUCUUAAUAUAUCAGGUGGAACAUGACCAACAGGUCCCAGCUUCUUCUGGGACUUCUUUUUAUGAUGGACUGUAUACCCUCAAACUGUGAGCCAAAACAAGCCUUUUGUCCUUCAGUUGCUUUUGUCAGGUAGAAGAAAGCAUAUAUCCAUUGAUCAUAAAAGCCCAGUUAGGCCAACAGCAUUGGUGUGAUGGAAUCUGCAUUGAAGUGUGACAUGCCGUUUCUGGCCAAGGAUUCUCCAGUCAGCAGAAUAGUGCUUCAAUGGGGAAAUCUAAUGUCAAGGUUGUUGAUUCCCUCCAAGUUACAGCUGCACCAAAGGCUGCCUUUGGCAGCAACUUCUGGGCUAUCAUUUCAUGAACAAUCUUUUUUCCCCCCAGCCCUCUAAUGAGAAUGUAGAUGUCAGCACAAAAUCUGCCAUACAUCUUUAUCCUGUGUCAUCGCAUUCUAAACUGAUGAUAAACGUCUGGCCUGAGAUUUCAGUAUUUUACUGUAUUAGUGCAAUUUAUAUCUUAUGUGGAAGCUGAUGAUGUGUUGAGAUCGCAUUGUGCCCUUGUCUGGAUUCUCACUCAGCACCCAAAUGGAUAGUGCUGCCCUGGUGAUUACACAGGCACUUUUUUUUAUGAAAUAAAGUGGCUCUCGUGUUGUGGGCUUUGAAGAGUAUGCUGGAUCCCCUGGAAUCAGAGUUAAGCCCAUCCAGUCCUAAGGUUGUAUGUGAACACUCAGAACCAACCCUGGGUCAUCUAUAAAUGCACUGUUCUUCAGCACCUGGCAACUCUCUAGCGUCCAACUCUCUAGCUCUACAUAUUUGUGCUUUAUCUGAUCUGUCUAAACUUGGUAAUGCAGAGGAGUUCUACUGUUGUUCAGUGAG
rnacentral:lncRNA from 1 species